CAGGGCGAACCGGGGGAACUGAAACAUCUAAGUACCCCGAGGAAAAGAAAUCAACCGAGAUUCCGAAAGUAGCGGCGAGCGAAAUUGGACUAGCCCUUAAGCUUUACACGCGUUAGACGAACAGCCUGGAAAGGCCGACGAUACAGGGUGAUAGUCCCGUAGUUGACGACGUGUGUUCAGUGAAAUCGAGUAGGGCGGGACACGUGAUAUCCUGUCUGAAUAUGGGGGGACCAUCCUCCAAGGCUAAAUACUACUGACUGACCGAUAGUGAACCAGUACCGUGAGGGAAAGGCGAAAAGAACCCCUGUGAGGGGAGUGAAAUAGAACCUGAAACCGUGUACGUACAAGCAGUAGGAGCAGGCUUGUCCUGUGACUGCGUACCUUUUGUAUAAUGGGUCAGCGACUUAUAUUCAGUGGCAAGGUUAACCAUCUAGGGGAGCCGUAGGGAAACCGAGUCUUAACUGGGCGUUCAGUCUCUGGAUAUAGACCCGAAACCAGGUGAUCUAGCCAUGGGCAGGUUGAAGGUUGAGUAACAUCAACUGGAGGACCGAACCGACUAAUGUUGAAAAAUUAGCGGAUGACUUGUGGCUAGGGGUGAAAGGCCAAUCAAACCUGGAGAUAGCUGGUUCUCCCCGAAAGCUAUUUAG
rnacentral:rRNA from 1 species